ensembl:lncRNA
UACACACACUAUCUCUAUCUAAAUUGAAUCAAUUCAACUCAAUGUGUUUCAUUGACUCUGCAAAAUCUGUAGUCAUAUCUGCAUGGCAUCACCACAUGACAGAGAGCACUUGAAAGGAACACGCAGAGCAUUCCAGAAUGUUCUGAUCAAAGAGUCAGGACAUAAGACUGUUUCACGUCAAACACAUAAAGAAAAUUGUUCUCCCCUCCCUUUUUCUGUUCCUCAUUUUUCCCCAGUCACCCCCCCCCCCUCCCAUCCCCCUCCCAUCCCCCCCUCCCUUUCAGUAGUGUGGGACACAUGUCUUGAACGUGACACCCGAAUGAUGAUGUCACAGAGGGGAGGGGGGGGGCCUGACUGAGCUGAGUGGACCCUGCUGCCGUGGUGGUCGUUCGGUGGGCGGGGCCCCACGUCAUAAACACUCAGCUCAUUUCAUAUUAAUGAGCGCUCGGUUCACUCUCCCUCUGCGCCGGCCUGAGCGUGUGCAGUUUGCAGGCUUGUGUUUAGUGAUAUAGUGCACUGGCAGCUGUUUCACUGCAUCUACAGAACAUGGCUGUGUGGAGGCUAAAAUGGCUCCUCCGUGCCGUCCUCCUGGGUGAGCAGCCGCCAACUCAGCCUUCGGCUUCAGCUCCACAGGCCUCCACGCUGGUUGGAAAGACAAACAGACAUUUUUUUUUUUUACUUAUAAGAAACUACUAUUCUCUGGUGUAAAACACUCCACUACAGCUAUAUUGAUUAUCGCUAAGCUCUAUUGGAUUUUUACCCUGCUUACUGCUUAUUAUUUUAUAUCAUUAUAAUUGGUUUCAUCUUCUCUCACACAUUAUGUAAACAUCCCAUUGCACAUCUUUUUUAAAUCUCUUUGGGUGACUAUUGUAUUUUCUCUAUGUUUUUAUUUUAAUAUUUCCUUUGUCUCCCUUCCCUGUCCCUGCGUUUCGCUGCGGUGUGCUAAAUGCAUGUUUGGCGGAGUGAGUGAUGUUUCAUAAUGGAUGGCGCUGUCGCAGGGGCCUCUGAGGCGCAGCGCUCUGCAGUGGGGGCUGAUGGGAGAGCAGAGGUGUGCUGCAUUCUCUCUCACACACACACACACACACACACACACACACACAGACACUCAUCCCUAGCACAGUCGUCAC